UGGGGAAUAUUGCACAAUGGGCGCAAGCCUGAUGCAGCCAUGCCGCGUGUAUGAAGAAGGCCUUCGGGUUGUAAAGUACUUUCAGCGGGGAGGAAGGCGAUAAGGUUAAUAACCUUGUCGAUUGACGUUACCCGCAGAAGAAGCACCGGCUAACUCCGUGCCAGCAGCCGCGGUAAUAAGGAGGGGGCAAGCGUUAAACGGGAUUACUGGGCGUAAAGCGCACGCAGGCGGUCUGUCAAGUCGGAUGUGAAAUCCCCGGGCUCAACCUGGGAACUGCAUUCGAAACUGGCAGGCUAGAGUCUUGUAGAGGGGGGUAGAAUUCCAGGUGUAGCGGUGAAAUGCGUAGAGAUCUGGAGGAAUACCGGUGGCGAAGGCGGCCCCCUGGACAAAGACUGACGCUCAGGUGCGAAAGCGUGGGGAGCAAACA
rnacentral:rRNA from 1 species